ensembl:lncRNA
CCAGGGCUAAACCAGGGCUACACCAGGACUACACCAGAACCAAACCAGAGCUGAACCAGGGCUAGAACAGAGCAUAAUCAGGUGUGGACCUGGCCUGUCCCUGGCCUGUGGUGGGGCUGGGUCGUUGCGGUGGCCUGUGACCCCGGUGGUUGUGCGAGCCCGUCUCUGAUGUUAAGCAGCGUGGCAGAGUGUUUACCUGACGUCUGGCAGGGGGUGCGUUCAAGGGAACUAAGUUGCAGCGCUGCGACAGGGCAGCAGCGGCGGCAGCACAAGGCCCUGAAGGCUGGCACUGUGCUCCCCAGAUAAGCUUGACAUAAUCAUGUCUCGGCACAAACAGCGGAAAAAACAACUAGGGGGGAAAAACAGACGAGGUGGGGAGAAGGAAAAAACAGAGAGGAGGCUGGCGAUGCUUUUAGCCACGUUCAAUUGGCACAGAGCACUGCACAGGAAGGACAAACUACUUAGCACCUACGACGAGGCCUCUUUGGAAGGCAAACCGUGGAGACGCCGGCAAUUACGCCUGCCCGGCAGGCAGGACUCAGACCCUGGCUCAGACAUCGGCUCUAUCCGGGCCAUCCGGGGAAACCCAGAAUGAAAACACAAACUCACUCACACACAAACACACUCAGGCACCCACAAACACAGAGAGAGAAACAGACAGUCUGUCAGACAGACACACUCUCGGGUACCCACUUUCUCCCUUACACACACACACACACACACACACACACACACACACACACACACACACACACACACACACACACACACACACACACACACACACACACACACACACACACACACACCGUUGUGAAGAGGGGAUUGGUGAGAGAGAGUCAGUUCCCUCCUGGGUUUCCAUGACCUGGAAAAUGUAUUUUAUGUUGUCAAUAAUAUACAGCCUAAUAUUAUCACCAGGGAGCGGAGUGAGAGACAAUACAUUCAGGUCUACAAACCCUAAAAGGCUGCAAGUAAGAAGAAUAUUGUUAGCGACAAAAAGGGGAAUUGACUGGUGCUGAAGGUUUCUGUUGUUAGCGAUUAGCUUGACGAUGGCAAUUGUUGCUCGCAGCGAGAGCGCAGAGUAACUUUGC